rnacentral:rRNA from 1 species
GACGAACGCUGGCGGCGUGCUUAACACAUGCCAGUCGAACGGAAAGGCCCUGCUUUUGUGGGGUGCUCGAGUGGCGAACGGGUGAGUAACACGUGAGUAACCUGCCCUUUACGUUGGGAUAACUUCAGGAAACUGUGGCUAAUACCGGAUAGGAGCUCCUGCUGCAUGGUGGGGGUUGGAAAGUUUCGGCGGUUGGGGAUGGACUCGCGGCUUAUCAGCUUGUUGGUGGGGUAGUUGCUUACCAAGGGUUUGACGGGUAGCCGGCCUGGGAGGGUGACCGGCCACAUGGGGACUGAGAGACGGCCCAGACUCCUACGGGAGGCAGCAGUGGGGAAUAUUGCACAAUGGGCGGAAGCCUGAGGCAGCGACGCCGCGUGCGGGAUGACGGCCUGCGGGUUGUAAACCGCUUUCGCCUGUGACGAAGCGUGAGUGACGGUAAUGGGUAAAGAAGCACCGGCUAACUACGUG